CCUACGGGUGGCAGCAGUGGGGAAUAUUGGGCAAUGGGCGCAAGCCUGACCCAGCAACGCCGCGUGAAGGAAGAAGGCUUUCGGGUUGUAAACUUCUUUUCUUAGGGACGAAGAAAGUGACGGUACCUGACGACUAAGCCACGGCUAACUACGUGCCAGCAGCCGCGGUAAUACGGAGGUGGCAAGCGUUAUCCGGAUUUAUUGGGUGUAAAGGGCGUGUAGGCGGGAGCGCAAGUCAGAUGUGAAAACUCAGGGCUCAACCCUGGGCCUGCAUUUGAAACUGUGUUUCUUGAGUGCUGGUGAGGCAAGCGGAAUGCCGGGUGUAGCGGUGAAAUGCGUAGAGAUACGGAGGAACACCAGUGGCGAAGGCGGAUUGCUGAACAGUAACUGACGCUGAGGCGCGAAAGCGUGGGGAGCAAACAGGAUUAGAUACCCGAGUAGUC
rnacentral:rRNA from 1 species